rnacentral:rRNA from 1 species
GGCCUGGCUGGGUGGUCUUGCCGCAAGGUAAGUACUGCUCUGGUCGGGUCUUUCCUUCUGGGGAACCAGUGUGCUCUUAAUUGAGUGCGCUGGGGAUCCAGGACUUUUACUUUGAAAAAAUUAGAGUGUUUAAAGCAGGCCUUAUUUGCUUGAAUACAUUAGCAUGGAAUAAUAGAAUAG